rnacentral:lncRNA from 1 species
UCAAGAUGAGUCAAGAUGAUGUUCUCUGGGUGUAGUGUUCUGUGAUUGUGCUCCGUGGCGGCGUCGCGGUGACAUGUGUAUUGUGCGGAUAUGAAGAAGUUCGAUUGGUGAAGUGUCAUCUCGUCGGAGACGGCGGCGGAUUGCCGAAAAUCUACGAAACGUUCAUAUGCUGCAGACUGGCUGCGCUAUGCUCCUUCAAGGAUUCAGAAAUGCAGCCGAGCGACAUCGGAGCCUGCAUGCCAGAUGUGUCCAUCAGGGAAGAGGAUUCAUCAGAUUAUUAGUGUUCAUAUCGGGGACAAUAAAGUGUUCUUCCAUA